rnacentral:lncRNA from 1 species
GUUCAGGCCUUUGCCUGUCCUUCCCUCAGCAAAAAUACUGUGUUUUGGAAAACAUUACCAAUAAAGGAGCUGGGAGGUGGAAUUGGAUCAAAAUACCUUUAGAUGAAAGCAGCAGCACAAGCCAUUCCCUUUAAAUGAGCUGGCCUCACCUCUGGGGCCUAUGAAGAAAAGCCUGCUUCAAGGUGAUAGUUUUCAUUUUGCUUCCCAGCACCUCUGCAGUCAUAACCAAAGUGAAGGACAAUAUUGCAUGACUUCAGAAGAAAGCCAUCCAGCCACCUUGCAACAUGUUCAGGAAAUUCUGGACUCCCUUGGGGCUUGCAAAACUCCCUAUGUCUUGCAGACCAAAAGCAAGUUCUCAGUCACCUAGCUCUAGUUUGCAUAAUUAAAGAAAGUGGAAGCUGGUUCUUUUCUGGGUGACCCUUCACCCAACCAAGCUCAUAAGGACUUGUGACAAAAAUAAGAGCAAUAAAAUGAAGUUUUAACAGUGAAAACUUCUAUCACUUAGAUAAGCAGGAAAAGCCAGUCCCCUAGAUGCCCAUCUGACCCUACCUUACUGGGGUCAUACAGCCAAAGCAGUGUCCACUUCAGGUACUGUAAUGUUUUGAAGUUGACACAUAUAAUUUAAUGUAGUUUCAUGUCAUAAGUUAUAAGACUUUUCAGAGAAACAAUUUAGUAAUAUCUUCUGUAAUACCCAUCUUCAUUUUUUAUAUGAAAAAGCAUAGCCUAUGAUCUGUCACCUUGCUCACUCCCACAUCCUUACCUCUUAUCCUUCUCACAUCGUCCCAUUAACACAUUAUCCAUCUUUGGGGGGAAAAAAUACACUAAAUUUUAGACAGAGUCACUUUCACUAUGGCCACAAUGGGAGAAAAGACAGUCCACCUUCAAAGUCAACCAGAAUGACUCUUAACCUCUCUUGUCUGGGUUGGGCAUCCAGAUAAGAUUUUCUUCGUACAAAGAGUCUUGCUACUAGGAAAAAGAGUUUGAAAAUCACUAGUCUAACUAAAUAUCUCACUUUAAAAAAAGCACAAACUAAGACUCAAUGAGGUUUAUCUUCCACAAGAUCAGCCAGUUUUAGCAGAGCAGUUGCUAAAACCCAGGUCUCAAACUCCUUGUCUAUGGCUCAUCUAACUAAGCAACAAAAAGCCCAAUGAGCUCUGGAGAGAGAGAGGGAGCUAAAACAGGACUCAAUCAAAACCCACUUGGGAUUAGGGAAGCCACCCUCUGUGAGUGAGUUAAACUGAGAUUCCCUCCCCUUCACCCUGGCUUCCUUUGCAGAACAAGGGUCACCGCCAGAGGGAAAGCUGAGUUUACGGAGGGGAUCCUGGUUGGAGUCAGAGUAUACCUUGGUUUGGUUUUGUGGGGUUUUUUGAGACAGGGUCUCACUGUCACCCAGGCUGGAGCACAGUGACAGUCAUAGCUCACUAUAGCCUCAGACUCCUGGCCUCAAGCGAUCCUCCCACCUCAACCUCCAGAGUAUCUGGGACUAUAGGCACGUACCACCAUACCCAGCUAAUAUUUUUUUUAAUUUUAUAUUUUUUAGAGACAGGGUGUCACUAUGUUACCCAGGUCUCAAUCACUAUGUUACUCCUUGCCUCAAGCAAUCCUCUCACCUUGGCCUCCCAAAGUGCUGAGCUUACAGGUGUCAACCACUGUGGCCAGCCACGCAUUGGUUUUAAGGUCCAGAAUUUUUCUGUUUGGAGCCUUCACAAUUAGUUUUAGGUUGGGAGACCGUGAACCCACCAAGCAGCCCUUUAGAGGCUGGAAAAAGAGUUUGGAAAAAGAACUCUGUGGCUUUAGGAAUUUCUCUCGGAAAUCCUCUAGGGCAGAGAAGGAAAAUUUACCAAAUGGGAGAGUGUAUUAGUCUAUUCUUACAUUGCUAUAAGGAAAUACCCCAGACUGGGUAAUUUAUAAAGGAAAGAGUUUUAAUUGACUCACAGUUCCACAUGGCUGGGAAAGCCUCAGGAAACUUACAAUCAUAGCAGAAGGCAAAGGGGAAGAAAGGCACCUUCUUCACAGGGCGGCAGGAAGGAGAAGUGCAGAGCAAAGUGGGGCAAAGCCUCUAUAAAGCCAUCAGAUCUCAUGAGAACUCACUAUCAUGAGAACAGCAGGGGAGAACCACCCCCAUGAUCCAAUCACCUUCCACGAGGUCCCUCCCCCAACACGUGGGGAUCACAAUUUGGAUUACAAUUCAAGAUGAGAUUUGGGUGAGGACACAGAGCCGGACCAUAUCAGAGAGAAAGCUAUUACUGAAGACCUUUCUAACUCACUUCUGUAAAGAUCAAUUCAAUAAAAGCAGCAAACACACAUACUUUGCUUUCCUUGUGAUUAAUGCCUUGACUUUUUUGUGGAAAGUAACACCCCAAGAAAGCCAGCUACUCAUGUUGGCAAUAAAGGUAAAAGUAUCUAUGGAAUAAGGACCAUUUUUAGGACAAUACUUUCCCUACUACUUAGUUCUAGUCCCUUUUUUGUAGAAUUCUGAGGACUUUCUACAUACACAAUCAUGUCAUCAGCAAAUAAAGAUUAUUGUACUUGUUCUUUGCCAACCCAUAUGUCUUGCCUUACUGCCCUGGUUAGGACCUUCAGAACAAUACUGGAUAUAAGUGGUGAAAGCACAUAUCCUCCCCUUGUUCCUAAUUUUAGAGGGAAAGUACUCAGUCUUUCGCCAUUAAGUACAAUGUCAGCUGUAAGUUUUCCUAGAGACCCUUUCUCAGCUUGAAGAUGUUCCCUGGUAUUCAUAGUUUGCUAAAAGGUUUUUGUCAUUUUAAAUCAUAAAUGGGUGUUGAAUUUUGUCAAAGGCUUUUAAUGCAUCUAUGGAGAUGAUCCAAGUUUUUUUCCUCCUUAUUUCUGCUAAGGUUGUAUAAUUAUGCUCAUUGGUAUUUUAAAUGUUAAAUUAACCUUGCGUUCCUGGGAUAAGACCCACUGAUCAUGAUGCAUUUUCCUCUUUGUAAAUUGCUGUAUUCAUUUUAGUUUCUUCAGGAUUUUGCCUAUGUUUGAAGGAUAUUGGUUUGUAAUUUUUCUUGUAACAUCUUUGUCUGGUUUUGAAAUCAAAGUAAUACUGGCCUAAUAAAAUGAGUUGGAAUGUGU